AUCAACGCUGGCGGCGCGCCUAACACAUGCAAGUCGAACGAGAAAGGUCUCAGCAAUGGGACCGAGUAAAGUGGCGAACGGGUGAGUAACACGUAGGUACCUACCCUCGAGUGGGGGAUAACCCGGGGAAACCUGGGCUAAUACCGCAUAACAUCCUUCGGGAUCAAAGGAGCAACACGCUUGAGGCUGGGCCUGCGGCCGAUUAGCUAGUUGGCGGGGUAACGGCCCACCAAGGCUAUGAUCGGUAGCCGGUCUGAGAGGACGCACGGCCACACUGGAACUGAAACACGGUCCAGACUCCUACGGGAGGCAGCAGUGGGGAAUCUUGCACAAUGGGGGAAACCCUGAUGCAGCGACGCCGCGUGAGUGAUGAAGCCCUUCGGGGUGUAAAGCUCUUUCGGUGGGGACGAAUCAAGACGGUACCCGCAAAAGAAGCCCCGGCUAACUACGU
rnacentral:rRNA from 1 species